UAUUCCUGUGAUCCCACUUUUUGGAUAAUUGAGAGGUGGAAUUCACUGUUCCCAAAGCAUACAAUGAAAAAAUAUACAGUUCUUUUACAGAGCCAGGGGCCCGAGGAUUCAAAGCCACCUGCAGGAGUGAAGUGGCCCUAGAGGACUUUCUGGGCACUUUGGAGGAAGCUGUCCUCCGGGCUCACAGUUCUGUUGGCACUCUUUUCAGUUCUGCGGAAGCUCUCAGAAGUAACCUGUCUCUCUCCAGCCUGAAUCUUGAUGGCAGGGAAGAAUGCUGACAGCUCUGUCACCCCCGAGCAGACAGCUGGGUCCACUCCAGAAGGCACUGGCUGAUGUUCCUUGGAAACGUGCGUGUCAGUCUGCGUCAGGAGCCAGAGUCUACCUCCAGCGCC
rnacentral:lncRNA from 1 species